CUGAAAAUUCUGAAGAUUAAGCAGUGCUGAGUUUGACAAAGCUGUCAGAUGGUUAUGUAUAUACUGGAGAGAGAGAGAACAUCAGAACUAUUCUAAGAACAUGUGCCAAAUGCAGUUAUCGGAUUAUACUCUGAACUCCAAACAAGAAGAGAAAAAUGAAAGGACAGAUUUGAGAUCUGCAUGGGUUAACUAACUAGUUUGAGAAGAAGUGAGGAUACAAAAAUGAAGAAACUGAGUCACAGAGCGGUUAAGUGGUUUCCAGAAGUUCACACAGCUAAUGUAUAAAGAAGGUCUGGAACUUGGAUUCUGCCUAACUCCAAUUCCCACAGUCUGUUCAGUGAGAGAGCAAGAUUAUAAGCUUCUUGAGAGCAGUGACUGUCUUUUGCAUCUUUCUUGGUAUCCCUACUAUUUUGCAUGGAGCCUGGCACAUAGCAGAAUCUACCACACAGAAGAAGAGUUAGUUCUAUUAGAAACACUGCAAAUUCUUUUUGACUGGCGGCUGAUUUCCCUGCCUUGCCUAGCAGCUGAACAAGGAAGAAACAAACAACAACAACAAAAAAAAUAGCAAAUGAAGCUUGUGGCUAUGAAGAUAAGAGAAUAAACAAACUCCAAAAUUAAAUUGGAGAGCUUCAUCACCUAAAAACUGGUGUGGAAAUGGGGGAAGGGAGAGGUGAUAUACAGAACUUUGACAACAAAUAAGUGAAAGAACUAAAAAUGAAAACAAAAUAAAACCAAAGAGGAAAGAAAAAAAGA